CAUUGCUACUUGGGCUAAAAUUAGCUCGAUCAAAAAAUCUCUUGCCAUUAUUGGUAGAGACUGAUUCGCAGGUAUUAUUAAACUCUAUGAAUGGUAAUACUUUAUUACACUCAAAUAUCUUCACUGAUUGCAGGUCACUUCUACUUCAACUGGGGAACCCGCCGCUGCACCACACCCCCCAGGAAACUAAUAUGGUUGCAGAUCUGCUGGCGGAAUACGGAAGGAAGUCUAUGGGACCUUAUAUGUAAAGAAACAAUCCUUAUAUUUUUGAAGCAUCUCCUUCUUUUGUAACUACUACUCUUGAUAGAGAUGCUUGUGGAACUGUUUCAUAUAGAUCAGUUCUUUUAUGUAUGUCUACGGACGAACCUUAAUAUAUAAAUAAAAUCCUUCCGUUUAAGCAAAAAAAAAA